AAUUCUCAACCCUUCUUACUUUGUUGUUAAGGAUGGGAUUGGAUAGUGGAGGCUUGCCGGAUGUUCAACGUUCGGCUCCUCUGAAAUGCAUUAGCGGUACAACCAUUUACUUGGGCUACGCUAAGCUGUGAUAAUAUCUAAGCUGGCUGGUUCAGAGUGUUGGCAGAGUUCGGGCUUUUGAAGGGUUUUGCCUCGCGGCUCCCUUUGUGUUCUCUCUUCGGAGGGAUACCUAUGCGACUCUGUGAAAAAGUGUUGUUGCGGCUUCUUAACCGUCUCUUGAAACUGGGAUAAACCCUUUAAACUGAUU
rnacentral:misc_RNA from 1 species